rnacentral:misc_RNA from 1 species
GAAAUGCGAUAAGUAGUGUGAAUUGCAGAAUUCAGUGAAUCAUCUAAUCUUUGAACGCACAUUGCGCCCCUUGGUAUUCCAUGGGGCAUGCCUGUUCGAGCGUCAUUUGUACCCUCAAGCUCUGCUUGGUGUUGGGUGUUUGUCCCCGUCUCCGCGCGUGGACUCGCCCCAAAGUGAUUGGCAGCCGGCGUACUGGUCCCGGAGCGCAGCACAUGUCGCGCAAACGAGUGCCUUGGUACGGCGGCGUCCAUAAGCCCCUCUCUCACGCUCUUGACCUCGGAUCAGGUAGGGAUACCCGCUGAACUUAAGC